GAAGAAGACAAUGGCCUCAGUAAGAUAUACAUAAGAUGAUCUUCUAGGCAGUAAUACUAGUGACCAUGGCAGAGAGAACUUGACUGGACUUGUGUUUCAUGCAAUGUAAGAAAAGCAGGCACAGCAAAAGAGAACCCACACUCCCCCACAUCCCCUGCAAUGUAACAAAUAACAUAAGGAAUGCUUGAUUACCCACCAGCUUAAGAUAGAAACCAUCAC
rnacentral:lncRNA from 1 species